GAGGGUAUAGCUCAGUGGUAGAGUGUGUGCUUAGCACGCACGAGGUCCUGGGUUCAAUCCCCAGUCCCAUUU
rnacentral:tRNA from 1 species